AUUGAACGCUGGCGGCAUGCCUUACACAUGCAAGUCGAACGGUAACGGGCCUUCGGGUGCCGACGAGUGGCGAGCGGGUGAGUAAUACAUCGGAACGUGCCCGAUCGUGGGGGAUAACGAGUCGAAAGCUUUGCUAAUACCUCAUACGAUCUACGGAUGAAAGCUGGGGACCGCAAGGCCUUGCGCGGACGGAGCGGCCGAUUGCAGAUUAGGUAGUUGGUGGGAUAAAAGCUUACCAAGCCGACGAUCUGUAGCUGGUCUGAGAGGAUGAUCAGCCACACUGGGAGUGAGACACGGCCCAGACUCCUACGGGAGGCAGCAGUGGGGAAUUUUGGACAAUGGGCGCAAGCCUGAUCCAGCCAUGCCGCGUGCAGGAUGAAGGCCUUCGGGUUGUAAACUGCUUUUGUACGGAACGAAAAGCCUUCUUUUAAUACAGGAGGGUCAUGACGGUACCGUAAGAAUAAGCACCGGCUAACUACGUG
rnacentral:rRNA from 1 species